UAGCAAUACGAUGGAAAGUUUAGUGGCGAACGGGUGCUUAACACGUGGGCAACCUGCCAGGAAGUGGGGGAUAGCUCGCCGAAAGGCGAAUUAAUACCGCAUGUGAUUAGAGAGGACAUCCUUUCGAAAUUAAAGUCGGGGCAACCUGACGCUUCUUGUGGGGCCCGCGGCCUAUCAGCUAGUUGGUGGGGUAAUGGCUCACCAAGGCUUUGACGGGUAGCUGGUCUGAGAGGACGACCAGCCACACUGGGACUGAGACACGGCCCAGACACCUACGGGUGGCAGCAGUCGAGAAUUUUUGACAAUGGGGGAAACCCUGAUCGAGCGACGCCGCGUGGAGGAUGAAGGUCUUCGGAUUGUAAACUCCUGUCAUUGGGGAACAAUGCACAGAUAUUAACUGUAUUUGUGUUGAUAGUACCCGAAGAGGAAGAGACGGCUAACUCUGUGCCAGCAGCCGCGGUAAUACAGAGGUCUCAAGCGUUGUUCGGAUUCAUUGGGCGUAAAGGGUGCGUAGGCGGCGCGGUAAGUCGGGUGUGAAAUCUUGGAGCUUAACUCCGAAACUGCAUUCGAUACUGCCGUGCUUGAGGACUGGAGAGGAGACUGGAAUUCACGGUGUAGCA
rnacentral:rRNA from 1 species